AUUGAACGCUGGCGGCAUGCCUAACACAUGCAAGUCGAGCGAGCGGCGGACGGGUGAGUAAUGUCUGGGAAACUGCCUGAUGGAGGGGGAUAACUACUGGAAACGGUAUCUAAUACCUCAUACCAUCAGAUGUGCCCAGAUGGGAUUAGCUAGUAGGUGGGGUAACGUCUCACCUCGGCGACGAUCCCUAGCUGGUCUGAGAGGAUGACCAGCCACAUUGGAGCUGAGAAACGGUCAAGACGCCUACGGGAGGCACCAGUGGGGAACAUUGCACAAUGGGCGCAAGCCUGAUGCAGCCAGGCCGCGUGUGUGAAGAAGGCCUUCGGGUUGUAAAGCACGUUCAGCGGGGAGACGGUACCCGCAGAAGAAGCACCGGCUAACUCCGUGCCAGCAGCCGCGGUAAUUC
rnacentral:rRNA from 1 species